GGCGUGUGGGGCGGGCCUGGGGAAGGGACUCCCGCGGCCCUAAGGUGCUGGCGGGCGUUUGGCGUUGCAGCUGUGUGGGCGCUGGUGCGUGCGAGUAGCGCUCGAAGAAACCCAAAGGCGUCGUGGGGCUGCCGUGUGCCCCAGAGAGCACUGCAGGCCGGGUAGGGGCUAAGGCUCCCCGCAGUCUUCUGUGUGUCGUCCAGUACGCAGUUGAAAUCGUUCUCCAACCUGGCCAGUCCUCCGAGGCCCUUCUCAGGCGACCAGACUCUGUUAACAGAGUCCAUUGCUAAAACUCCUCGUUAGUAUUUACCACUCCUCCAGUCUGUGUUUUGAAGCAGUGGUUUUCAACCACUGCCCGUUUUCAGAAGAAAUCAUCUCAAGCGUCCGUGUGCUGCUAGAAGCCGGGCCGGGAGGUCUUGGUGCCGGACUCCACCCUGCAGCCCUUCCCUUUCGCCACCGCCCUGUGCUUAGAGAAACCUUAGAGUGGAGCAAUGAGUCGCCCUUGACUGAGUAACUCUUCGGGGUCAACUUCUCCUUCCACGCCAAGGAAAGGAUUCCAGGGCGAUGUUUCUGGAAAUAGAGAUCUGACCAAGCCACUGCUCUGUCUCUUUCAGAGCAAUGCAAACCUGAAACUACUCCUGCCAAGAAACGAUUGCAGCUCUUCCCGGAAAAGUUAAAGCCUUUGAGAAACAAAGCUGAGGUUGAAAGUAUUAGUCCAUUUUAUAGAUGAAGAAAUGGAGGCCCAGAGAGAUCACGUGACUUAGCCAAGUCCACCAAGGCCUAGGGGAUGCCAAAUUCCAGGGUCCAGAAAGAGCUUGGGAUAAAAUGAACAUCCAAGGGGAGGGCUUUGACCUGGGCUGAGUCUGCCUGUGCCGAGUCUGCCUGUGCCAUCCAACUGGAGUCUCAAGUCCUGAGGCAGGACGUCCAGAUGCCCCAGUGCAGGGUCCUCCUGAUCAACACCUGCUCCCCUGUACUCAUUAGCAACCUCACCCACCCUACUCUCAAAGCACACUUGGCUCUCAUAUCCAGGAGCUCUGCAUCUGUAGAUUCAGCAACAGCAGAUGGAAAAUAUUCAGAAAAUAAAUUGGACAGUUAUAUUUCUAUUGAACAUG
rnacentral:lncRNA from 1 species